CUGGCGAGCCUGGCUGUCAGUGAAUUGUACGAAAACGUUUCUCCUCAACUUGCUAUAUUUUCACUAUAUUUCCCUCUGGCUCACACACACACAAAGCAACACCAGUAACUGACAUCAGCGACGUUGUCUGAAAUAUCAAAUGUUCUAUUAAGCUAAACUCGCAGUGAAACAUACUGAAAUGGAAUAUGGCAGAGUGUGUAGCAGCUUAUUGGCAUAAGCAUGAAUCGACGCCACUCUCACUCGGACUCCUCAUAUGCCAUGGAGCAGCUCUGCUAUAUGCCAUAUUAUAUAGUCAGUCAUGCUUAAUAUGCUGUGUGUAAAAGUGCUCGAGUAUUGAGUUAGCCUUGCUUAUUUAUUUUCCCAUUAUACGAAAACAAAAGCAAGAACUCGCAAGAUAACAAAACAAGUUGGACUUAUGUUUGUUGUUUACCGAUCGAAGCGGAAAGUAUCAAUUAGAUAAGGGCUAUACGCAGCAGCGGAAUGCUGUUUAAACAACCUAAAACUUACUCGAAAUCCCCAUCAACUGUGUGAAUUUUUCAGUCGGACUGCGGACUGGCAGUCGUCAAUUGAAGUGGCUCUGGCUGCGUAUUUGCAUAUUGUUGUUUGCUUUGGUAAUUAAGUUACCAACUUAUUAAGCGUGUUUAUGAUGUUUACACAACAAUUUAUUUACCAUAAUAUUUGCGAGCGUUUAAGCCAAGCUGUUGCUGUUAUUGUUGCUGUUGUUGUCGGUGUUAUUAUAGCUGGAGUUCUGCUAAUAUUAUUACAACAGUGAUUCGCGCGUCGGACGCUGCGUGGAAAUUUGUGCCGAUUUGCGUUGUGCAAAUAAAUGAAUAAAAUUUAAAAUACCAAAAAAAAAAAAAAAAAAAAACAAAUGAAAAAAAUACACCAGACACUGAAACAAUAAUAAAACAUUCAAUUAAGCGCUGCGGCUGUUCGGGUAAUUACAUAAAUGGUUUAUUUAUUCUGUGUCGCGGCGAUUCGCUGGCCAGUCCAAAAUUAUUUUACUCGACUCGCGCUCGCUGGCUCUACAUUAAAUUAAAUGCCGUGUCGCUGCUACACAGUAGGCGCUGAUGUCAAUUGCCAUAAGAACAAGCUCAUAAACGUUACGCAUACGCCAUGUAAGCCCUAUGAGAGCACGUCGCGCCGUCGUCCGGCUGGGAUGGCAUCAUUCAGAUGUUGAGCAAACGUGGCACAUGAAAUACCUUACUCAUUGGCCCCACAGACUGAAGUGCUUAGUCAUACAUGGAUCCACACACACACACACACCCACACACACACGCGCGCGCCUACAUUGUCCAGCUUGUGCUGGUAGACAUACAUAUAUGGGGCCGUCACUUAAUAGAUGCAGACACAUACUGAGCAUAUCCUGGAUCGUGUCCCUGCGCCGGGGAAUGUUGAUGAUUUUGAUGUUCGUGUCAUUUGAAAGCGUUAUGCGUGACGAAACGGAAGCUCUUAAAAGCCACAAUAACUAAACGCUUGAACUGAAGCCAAAAGCCGCCGGACUCAGCUUGCCCUCAACCCAAAAGAGACAUCAAAAUAUUCAUAGUCGAGGCACUCUCGGUGUCUGGUGUCGUCCUGCUUGGCGGCGUAUGCAGCGGUCGCCAUGGCACAUUAAGAAGGACUCUUUCUGGCUGUAAAUUCUACUGUUUUAUGCGCUUUUUGUUACGCACUGCUUGAGCGGCGGCCGGACAAUGCCACGCCCCCCAAAAUAAUGACGCCAAAUGUAAUGGCAACAGCAGCAGCAGCCAAGGCAACAGCCAAAGCAACAGCAACAACAUGAGCUCAUUAUUUUAAUUAGAUGCGAGCCAGGAGUCUAAUAAUCAUGACUUCGUGCCAAUUUGCCAGUUAGCUAAAUGGUCACAAAUGUGGCAGCUGUGUAGCAUUUAAUUAAAUUAAGUAAAUGUCAUGGUGUCAUUAUUGUUUUUGUGAACA